rnacentral:lncRNA from 1 species
UUUUUUAGUCCUGUAAGUUUGCUAGUUGAGAGUUUUAGUCCACCACGUUUCAAAAUCAGAUUUUUAGUCCUGUAAGUUACAAAAGUUGAGAGUUUUGGUCCUAUGACCUGCUAUAAUAGGUAAUGUGAUGGUUGAUUGAAUGAGUUGGCAUUUAAAAUAUAAAAAUGAAUAGAUUAAAAAUAAAUUAGGUGAUGUAGCUAAUGAGUUGGAAAAUUUUGGAGGAAAAUAAAAUAUACCAUCAAAUUAUUAUUCUUAUUUGAUGAAUGAAAUAAGCAUUUUUG